AUUGAACGCUGGCGACAUGCCUUACACAUGCAAGUCGAACGGCAGCACGGGUGCUUGCCCCUGGUGGCGAGUGGCGAACGGGUGAGUAAUACAUCGGAACAUGUCCUGUAGUGGGGGAUAGCCCGGCGAAAGCCGGAUUAAUACCGCAUACGAUCUACGGAUGACAGCGGGGUACCUUCUGGCCUCGCGCUAUGGGGUUGGCCGAUGGCUGAUUAGCUCUUUGGUGGGGUAAAGGCCAACAAAGGAGACGAUCAGUAGCUGGUCUGAGAGGACGACCAGCAACACUGGGACUGAGCCACGGCCCAGACCCCUACGGGAGGCAGCGGUGGGGAAUUUUCGAAAAUGGGCGAAAGCCUGCGCCAGCAAGGCGGCGUGUGUGAAGAAGGCCUUCGGGUUGUAAAGCACUUUUGUCGGGAAAGAAAUCCUUGGAAGUAAUACGGUCGGGCGAGGACGGUACCGGAAGAAUAAACACCGGCUAACUACGU
rnacentral:rRNA from 1 species